rnacentral:rRNA from 1 species
CAGUCGCCGCGGUAAUACGAGGGGGGCUAGCGUUGUUCGGAUUUACUGGGCGUAAAGCGCACGUAGGCGGAUCGAUCAGUCAGGGGUGAAAUCCCAGAGCUCAACUCUGGAACUGCCUUUGAUACUGUCGAUCUGGAGUAUGGAAGAGGUGAGUGGAAUUCCGAGUGUAGAGGUGAAAUUCGUAGAUAUUCGGAAGAACACCAGUGGCGAAGGCGGCUCACUGGACUGGUAUUGACGCUGAGGUGCGAAAGCGUGGGGAGCAAACAGGAUUAGAUACCCCAGUAGUCCCUGUCUCUUAUAC